rnacentral:rRNA from 1 species
GAUGAACGCUGGCGGCGUGCCUAAUACAUGCAAGUCGAGCGAACAGAUGAGGAGCUUGCUCCUCUGACGUUAGCGGCGGACGGGUGAGUAACACGUGGAUAACCUACCUAUAAGACUGGGAUAACUUCGGGAAACCGGAGCUAAUACCGGAUAAUAUAUUGAACCGCAUGGUUCAAUAGUGAAAGACGGUUUUGCUGUCACUUAUAGAUGGAUCCGCGCCGCAUUAGCUAGUUGGUAAGGUAACGGCUUACCAAGGCAACGAUGCGUAGCCGACCUGAGAGGGGGAUCGGCCACACUGGAACUGAGACACCGUCCAGACUCCUACGGGAGGCAGCAGUAGGGAAUCUUCCGCAAUGGGCGGAAGCCUGACGGAGCAACGCCGCGUGAGUUGUGAAGGUCUUCGGAUCGUAAAACUCUGUUAUGAGGGAAGAACAAAUGUGUAAGUAACUAUGCACGUCUUGACGGUACCUAAUCAGAAAGCCACGGCUAACUACGUG